UGGGCGUUAAGUUGCAGGGUAUAGACCCGAAACCCGGUGAUCUAGCCAUGGGCAGGUUGAAGGUUGGGUAACACUAACUGGAGGACCGAACCGACUAAUGUUGAAAAAUUAGCGGAUGACUUGUGGCUGGGGGUGAAAGGCCAAUCAAACCGGGAGAUAGCUGGUUCUCCCCGAAAGCUAUUUAGGUAGCGCCUCGUGAAUUCAUCUCCGGGGGUAGAGCACUGUUUCGGCAAGGGGGUCAUCCCGACUUACCAACCCGAUGCAAACUGCGAAUACCGGAGAAUGUUAUCACGGGAGACACACGGCGGGUGCUAACGUCCGUCGUGAAGAGGGAAACAACCCAGACCGCCAGCUAAGGUCCCAAAGUCAUGGUUAAGUGGGAAACGAUGUGGGAAGGCCCAGACAGCCAGGAUGUUGGCUUAGAAGCAGCCAUCAUUUAAAGAAAGCGUAAUAGCUCACUGGUCGAGUCGGCCUGCGCGGAAGAUGUAACGGGGCUAAACCAUGCACCGAAGCUGCGGCAGCGACACUAUGUGUUGUUGGGUAGGGGAGCG
rnacentral:rRNA from 1 species